rnacentral:rRNA from 1 species
CAGCAGCCGCGGUAAUACCGGCGGCCCGAGUGGCGGUCACUAUUAUUGGGCUUAAAGCGUCCGUAGCCGGGUUGGGAAGUCCUCCGGGAAAUCUGGCCGCUUAACGGUCAGAAUGCCGGAGGAUACUCCCAGCCUAGGGAGCGGGAGAGGCCGAGGGUAUUCCCGGAGGAGGGGUGAAAUCCUAUAAUCCCGGGAGGACCACCUGUGGCGAAGGCGCUCGGCUGGGACGCGUCCGACGGUGAGGGACGAAGGCCAGGGGAGCAAACCGGAUUAGAUACCCGGGUAGUCCUGGCUGUAAACGAUGCGGACUUUGUGUCGGACAAGCUAUGAGCUUGUCCGGUGCCGGAGGGAAACCGUUAAGUCCGCCGCCUGGGGAGUACGGCCGCAAGGCUGAAACUUAAAGGAAUUGGCGGG